UGUGGAAGCGAAAACCAGAAAAAGCCUAGCCAAGAAACUGGAAAGAGCUGAUGAGAGACUUGCAGAGGCCGACAUCGAGCUCUUUUGGGAGCGCCAUAGAAGCAAAUCUGCAGUCACAAGCAGCGCUGUCAGCAUACAUCUGGCUGCAAGUCCACUUCUGGAUCCAGCUGGCCUGGGAUAUCUUGGCAACAGUUUGGGACUGAACAGAAGUCUGGGUCUCAGAACACCACCCAGACAUCUGUGGUAAAGCCGAAGACUUUAGGUCAUCUGUAGCAGUUUGAAACUCGGAUAUCAGCACAAAAGGAUUAUGUAGCAGGCCAUGGACCAACAGGGGCUGAAAGAAAGCCCACCACCUGAGGACUGCAUGCUUCUUCACAAGACCUACUGCUAUUUAACUAUGUUGAUCGGCCUGGCUCCUGCAGCAAGAUAUGGAAAGACUUUGUGAUGAUGAUAUCAGACUACGUAGAAACCCCUUUGUUCUCUCCCCCCCAUGUAAUCCUUGUUACAGGAAAUAUUAAACAAUUGUGUGACUGUA